UGAUUUUCUGGAUGUUAGUAAAUGAUACCAAUUCCACUAAAAGUUUCAAGUAUUUAUUUCAACCAAAUAGUACUUUUUCUCCAUAGAAAGCUAUCUUAUUCAUGUAACAAUUUACUCUUGAAAUGUUUUAAGGACUUCAUUUCUGCGAUAUUGUUGUAAUUAUCCCAAUGGAAAAAAUUUCGUUUUUAUUUGCUACACUUAAAAUAGGUCUUAGAUUGAAUAAUAUCAAUUUUUUUGUCUAUUCUUCUAUGAAAUUUUAGUAGCAACAGAUUAAGCAAAUAAUGAUUAAAAGAAAUAGAAAGAGAUAGUAAUUACUAGUAGUCUCUUAAUAAAAAGAGGAACGAAAAGAGAAGUAAAUUAAAAUGAACAUCAAAACACAUAAUUUAUAAACACCCAAUUUAUAAAAAAGAAUGCUUAAAUAAAAGUAAAAUAAAAUAAAAAGAAAUAUUAUUCAACUACAAUAAUGGAGAAGACAAUGGUAGCCAUCUUAUAAUUAAACUACAAUACUCACAUUCUAAAUCACUGAAAUCAGCUAUACCCUUCUUUGAAAUUCCAAAUUCUAAGACAACAGUGGAACCAUACUAAAAAAUAAAAAUAUACAAUUAAUCCAAAUUAAUCACUACAAAGAUAUACACAAAAAAUUCUAAAAUAAAUAAUUUUACCAAAUAAUUAAAAAUUUAGGAACAUAAUUACACAUACUUACCCUCUACGCAUUCAAACCAUCUACUCCUACCAUCACACCUUUAUUUUUUUUCCUUUUACUAUAAAAUUCUCGAUGUUACUUAAGGAUGAACAACAGCAAAAUUAAGUAUCUCUUUUGUUUUAUAGGGAUAGCAAUAGGGACAAGGACACUGAGGAUAGACGAGUUUAAAGCUCACAUUAACGUGUACUAAAAAUCCACAUCAAUCGCAUACUUCUUUGUGCAGAUUUUGCAAUUUAUGAAAAAUUUCUACUAUGAUUAGUGAAGUAACGGAAAUUCAAUACAUAACAAUCAGUUUACACAUGAAGUCUCAGAACGAAAAUACACAAAGACAAUACAGUUUUGGCAGUUUUAUGAACAUGCAUAAUUUAUCAACGCCCAAUGUAGAAUAAAGAAAGCCUAAAUAAAUUUUUUUUUAAAAAAAAGAGAGAGAGCAAUUCAAUUACAAUAAUGGACAAGACAAAGGUAAUCAUCUUCUUUCAAGAUUAUGAAAUCCACAUUGCCGAGCUUAUAAAUCUAGAUAAUCCCCAUGUUUGCACUAUAUUUCUAACUAUAAAUUAUACCCACAGUUCAAUGUUCGACCCCUUUUGCACUUAUAUCUUCAACAUUUUAUACCUGACUUUUUAAGUAGUUCUAUCCUUCUUCAUAGCUUGCUUACUAAAAACCCCGUCAAAAUUAUUCAAAAAAUAGUCUUCUUCUCACNAAAAGUCAUCAUUGGUUUGAACUAUAUAAUGUUCAUUUUGUAGAUAUAAACAAAAGAGAAGUUUUUCGUGAAGAUAUUUGAUUCCUCUUUUAAAUUAUGGUAGGCUUUUGGGAGAGUUCUUUCUAAAUUUAGUGAUGAAUGCUUUGGAAGAGGCUCAAGCACUAUUGGACAUAUUUGAUUCCCUCGAUGUACCAGCAGAAAAAUGUGCAAAUUCAUUAAGUAAAUAGAAGUGUAAGAAUGAAACCACACAUACUAAAGUAGAAAUGCAUAGAAUAAUAGUUACACAAUAGAGCCAAGAUUAAGUGAGAGGAAACAUUUUUAGUUGCAUAAAGUUAUAUUUUUGAAAAACAAAAAUAAGGGAAACAAGAAAGGUAUCAAACAUUUGAGUUAUGGCAAAAUAUCAUUCAUAAAAACUUGGAAUAUCUCGUUGUUUAGAUUGUCGUAAAGACACUAAGAGUGGGAAUAAAUAAUUUUGUAUAUUAUUUAUAAAAUCACAAAUCAUAAAAUUGUUUACUUACUUGGAAUAAUUUAAGUUGGAAGGAUGCCAGUCUACAAAUGAUGAUGAUGUAGCAUUGCAUGAAGUCCAAAUGUAGGAUAUCAUCGCAUAUGUUAUUUACAAGUAAUUAAAUUAAAUUUCUUGUACAGCCUAUUCAGAAUGAACAUAAUCCACAAUUUGGGCGUGAUUUUGAAGUAAGAAAAACAGAAGCAAAUUACAAAUCAAAAUCCCAAUGGAUCUAGCUAUAUAGUGUUCAUACAUAAGAGAGCAGAACAAAUGUUCCAUAAUAAGCAAACAUGAAAGCUACGAAUGAGAAUGUACAAUCUAUGUAAGAUUGAAACUCCCAUCAGUGCGACACACUUUGUAAACCACGAACAUUGGGAUUUCGUCGUCCAUAAGUUCAAAUACACAUGUGUCACCUAUUUGAAGUUGUUUCUCCCUAACAUAAUCCGCCCAACCUACGGUGAAAUGUCGCACAAAACCAUUGGUUCUUAUAUUCGUUCGUAAUGACCAAUUACGAUGUGAACUAUCAUGNNNNN
rnacentral:lncRNA from 1 species